rnacentral:lncRNA from 1 species
AUUCUCAGACAAUGUAUCACAUUCAACAUAUGAAUUGGAUGAGGUAAGUAGCUACUUCUGCAAGAGCCCAAAUACAUUAUUGCAUUAUGAGUGCUACUAAGUGACAAAUGAUUGAAAUUGAUUCUAUCAUAUGAUUUCUUAUUUACUAAUUGAAUAAUUCUUUUUUUCCUUUUCAGGUUGGACUGUUUGAUGGAGUGAAAUAACGUUAUUGUGGAAGUCAUAUUUGUUGUCGCUUAACAAUUUAUAAAGUGGAA